rnacentral:lncRNA from 1 species
AAAUAACCUUGCCUAUUGUGCCUCCUCGGGUACAGGUGCAACAUCAGUAGCCUCCUCAGACGGCUUGCCUGGGUCCUCGUUGAUCGCCUCGUUAACACCGAGCACUUCAUCCAUCAGGUCAUCUUCCGCGGCCAUGUCGUCCACGUCCACAUCAUCAUCCUCAUCGUUGCCACCGUCGGGGAUCCACCGAGCCUUUGGGCCGUCCUCCGCCAUGUGCGUGUCAAGCUCCUUGCCCAUUUCCUGUAUGUUAGCAGGCACGUUCCCCCUCCGAGCAUUUCGGGCAUUCUGAAUCCUUUCCAGCUGCACUAGUAGAAAAAGGGCCAUUUGUCCCGGUUCGUAAGGGCCUUCUGUCCCGGUUUUGGAACCGGGACUAAAAGGUCGUUACUAAUGCCCCAGGCCUUUAGUCCCGGUUCUUACACGAACCGGGACAGAUGGGCCUCCAUGUGGCCGGUGCAGCGAGCCCAAGCAGGAGGGCCUUUGGUCCCGGUUGGUGGCACCAACCGGGACCAAUAGGCAUCCACGCGUCAGCUGNNNNNNNNNNNNNNNNNNNNNNNNNNNNNNNNNNNNNNNNNNNNNNNNNNNNNNNNNNNNNNNNNNNNNNNNNNNNNNNNNNNNNNNNNNNNNNNNNNNNNNNNNNNNNNNNNNNNNNNNNNNNNNNNNNNNNNNNNNNNNNNNNNNNNNNNNNNNNNNNNNNNNNNNNNNNNNNNNNNNNNNNNNNNNNNNNNNNNNNNNNNNNNNNNNNNNNNNNNNNNNNNNNNNNNNNNNNNNNNNNNNNNNNNNNNNNNNNNNNNNNNNNNNNNNNNNNNNNNNNNNNNNNNNNNNNNNNNNNNNNNNNNNNNNNNNNNNNNNNNNNNNNNNNNNNNNNNNNNNNNNNNNNNNNNNNNNNNNNNNNNNNNNNNNNNNNNNNNNNNAUAUUGUGUUAGGUAGCUAAUUAAUUAAUAGAGAGAAGUGUCCUUUCUUAUCUUCGUGCUUGGUCGACGCUACGUACUAUACGUGGCCCUCGACACGCUAGCUAUAUAGUAAGCAAAUGAAGGAAACCAUUAAGUACAGAAGUUCGUCAUGCAUACCGAGAGAAGUGAUAUCGACCUCUCCUUCUCCAAGAGAUUGCGCGAACAACAAAGUUUCGUAUAUCUAUCUGACGCUACUGGCUACAUAUAUACAAUAUUAAGAUCUCUUACAACAUAAUCUCCCCUAAUUAAAUAUGAAGUCAGCUUCAACAUGGUAUUCUCCGGCUUUAUUGAUGACGUGGUCAAGAAAGAAUCCCGCCAAUUUCUCUUGAAUUGCUUUCAUGCGAUCUUGUUCUAGGAGUGCAUUCCGCAUCUGCCACAACUAAUUUGAAGAAGGGGGUCAAUACAUAUAUGAAUGAAACUCAACAGAAAUGAUGGUGUAAUAAAAUGAAAUUGUGAAUAUUAUUGCUUACGCACCUCAUAUUGUCUUUUAGAGUAGCCCCGCUUAUUUUUGCAAGUCGCAUUGUAGAUGAACUCGCACACGUAAUAUCCACAAUAAUCAUUCCCUUGUUCCUGCCACAAGCACUUUACGAGAAAUAGAGGUCAAACAAACUGAUAAUGAAGCAUUAUAAAUGGAAUUGAUGAAAGUAGCUAGAAUCAACGGGAGAUGCGCGGAACUAGCUAGCUAGUAGUACUUACUUUCGGGUAUUUAUAUCGCAGCUCCUUCGGCAGUCCCGGAGCUUCUGCGGUGAACUUUUUCCAAACCCUGCAAGACAAAGAAAAUAAUUAUUACUUGAGAUAUCAGGAAAUGAACAAAAAGUUGCCGAUAUGGUGCGAUAAUGAUCGAUUGAACUUACUUGUUGAGAAUUUUAGUCAUGUCCGCAUAGGUCUCGGGAUCUUUUCCGUCUCGAGUCUAAGACGGUUACUACUCCCUGCUCAAGCUUAAUCUCCAGGAGAAUAUAGUGGAAGCUGCGCACGCAUGCAUAACUCAUCAAUUACAUUACUAUAACCUCGCUCAAGUAAUAAGGGAACCCGAAUAUGCACAAGACAGUAACACUCACUUGAAGUUGUAAGGAAAGAGUAUGGUAUCUUUGUUUUGAUUUAUUACCAAUUAUUUGAGCAAGUUGGCCUCGGGAUCUUUGGCGCUCUUUGAACUAAGUACUAGAGAAUAAUUUUAUGGACUUUAGGUCAAACUAAGUUAAGUACUCCCUGAUUUAGUAUAACAUUUUACUAAAUCAUAAUUAAUAUAGAUCGAAGGGAGUACUAGAGAAUAAUUUAUUGACUUUCGGAUCAGCCAAACUCCUCCACUCUAUCUGGACUAUUCUAAAAUAUAUACUUUCGUAGCUGCAAUACUGCCCUGCCCUGCCCGGAAGUUUAUUUUUCACACUUCUAUUUUUUCACCAGGCAUGAACUAGGGGUAGUACUAUAAUACUCGACGCCACCGUUGACUCCAGGGGCCAGAGCUGAAUUAAGUUAAAAGUACUACUCGUAUCCACAAUCACAAGAUUAUUUAUUCCAUCUGGUAAUUAACUUCACCGCUACGUUGUUAUUCAUCUUCACACUAUCAUUCGAGAGCACACCGUGUGAUGUAGGGUAGAACCCUAGAUGCCCGAUCUUUCACGAUUGGAGCGGAUCCCGCGAAGAACACGAGGGGAAAACACGAGAGGAAUCACUCAAACCAACAAGAUUCGAUUACACAUGUGCUAGAUCCUCGAAACACAAAGAUAUACACGAUCCACGAUCAACAAAGGACGAUACAGCAAGUUAUUCUCCAUGAGGAGGUCUUGAGGGUCUUCCCGUUAGGGGUCUUGAAUCCAAGAUGGUUCUUCUCCGUAGAGGCCGCGGUCUCUCUCGAUGGAGUAGAUCCGGGUGGAUGAGCAAAGCUCUAUCUCUCAAAUGGGCUAUCACAAUGCUCACCCUAAUAAGUGGGAGGAGGAGGAGGAGUAUAUAUAGUCUAGUGUCACAAAAGGGUAAGUGGGUCUCGGCCCCACACGCUGUCAACACACAGGCGUCAGACGUCCGACAGUUACCGGUUGUCCGGUGUCUCGCGGGCGCUCGGACGUUCCGUAAGCGUCGGAUUUUAGACGUUUCCGCUCUAAUUAGGUGACGUCGGACUUUCGGUCGGGGUCGGGCGUCCGGUGUGUCGGUUCUCCGGUGAUCUCCAUACUUCCGACGUUUUGGUUCUGGACUGGUGGUGUCGGACGUCCGGAGGAGCUCGGUCGUCCGGUGGCUCGAGGGCAUCGGUCGUCCGGUCUGCGUCGGACGUCCGACCGCUGUAGCGUUCGCUGGCUGCGGAUCAUCGGGCUGGGUGAUGCUCCAGGCGUCGGACUCCGACAAGUCUCGGUCGUCCGGUGGCUGGGGACUUCCUGGCAGCUCUUCUUCUUGUUCCUUGUACUUGGUGACCUCGCCGUCUUGUCCGUUGGGCGUAGCUGAUCCAUGGCCUUCCUCCAAGUACCUGAUCACACAUAGGGUUUGCACUUGAGGUAGCAACCAUGUCUCAUAUGUACAAAGUGGUAGUUCAGAGAGGAGCGAGUUCACCUUAUCUCCGAUAGCCUUUGCUCGAGCUCUUGUCAUUGGUCCAAGUGUUGUUGUAGGAGACGUCGGUAGGUCCAUGGGGAUGACCGUGGGAUGCUCCGCAUCACCGUGCCUUCUAAGUACAUGUGCAGGAUUGCAGCUAUAUAAACACAUUCCAUUCCACACAUUCUCGACAGACCAAACCGCCAGCAACUAAGCACUAAUCGAACACAUCAUGGCCAUCCCCAAGUCUUUUCUUCUUGCCAUUCUAGGCUACAUCUGCUUAUGCAGUAGUACAGUUAUGCCAGCUUGCGAGCUCGCCGACGCGGCCAUGGUGGAGAGGCAUGAGCAGUGGAUGGUGAAGUUCAACCGUGUUUACAAGGACAACGCUGAGAAGGUGCGGUGGUUCGAGGUGUUCAAGGCCAACGUUGCCUUCAUCGAGUCGUUCAACGCUAGAAACCACAAGUUCUGGCUCGGUGUCAACCAGUUUACCGACCUCACCAAUGAUGAGUUCAAGGCAACCAAGACCAACAAGGGCCUCAAGAGGACCAGUAACCGGGCUCCAACUAGGUUCAAGUACAACAAUGUCAGCACCGAUGCACUUCCAACCGCCGUUGAUUGGAGAACCAAGGGUGCCAUCACACCUAUCAAAGACCAGGGCCAAUGUGGUAAGAAAUUUUUGGUAGUAUCCUCGUUUAUUUUUGGUUCGCAUAUUAGGUUUGUAUUAAAUCAAACUUUCCAAAGUUUGACCAAAGUAUAUAUAUCAUUCUAUCAUGAUAACUGAAAUCACACUAAGGAUAACACUAUCAUUGCAGGCUGUUCUUGGGCCUUUUCAGCUGUAGCCGCAACCGAAGGCAUUGUGAAGUUGAGCACCGGGAAGCUUGUCUCUCUGUCGGAACAAGAGCUAGUUGCAUGACAUUCAUGGUGUUGAUCAGGGUUGUGACGGUGGUGAGAUGGACAAGCCUUCAAGUUCAUCAUCAAGAUUGGCAGCCUCACUAGUGAGGCCAACUACCCCUACACGGCACAAGAUGGACAAUGCAAGACCAGCAUUGCAAGCAACAAUGUUGCAACAAUCAAGGGCUACGAGGAUGUGCCCGCCAACGAUGAAUCUUCUCUUAUGAAAGCCGUGGCUAACCAGCCUGUGUCAGUAGCUGUGGACGGAGGGGAUGUCAUAUUUCAACAUUACUCCGGCGGGGCAAUGACUGGCUCCUGCGGCACUGAUUUGGACCAUGGGAUAGCAGCGAUUGGAUAUGGGAUGACGAGUGACGGAACUAAGUAUUGGCUGCUGAAGAACUCAUGGGGCACGACAUGGGGCGAGAGUGGGUACCUCAGAAUGGAGAAGGAUAUUUCUGACAAGAGUGGUAUGUGUGGCUUGGCCAUGCAACCUUCCUACCCCACUGAGUAGAGGAAAUACAUUGCCACGUAUAUCUACAAAUACUGUAGAAAUACACAUAUUUUUAUCGAUAUGUCCGCACCUUCCAUUACACUGCAUUGUUUCUUGUUUGUAAAAUCGCGAGUGUUCCGUCAAUAUAUAAAGAAGGCAGAUGACUUCAAGCUUAAUGCUGUAUGGUGAUGUUUACGCUGAAACCCAUCUUGUUUGAAUCAAAUCAUUGAUUGGAACAAAGAAAAAAAAUCAGAAAUAAGAGAACGCCCCUGAUCUUUGCAUCGAUCAAUGCACACAUCCAUCGUAUUGAAGAAAUUUAUUACAUAUGUUCCGCUACACAUGAAUAAAAGGCGCAAGAAUAAGAAACAAUGUACAAUUCAGCACACUAUUACUAGGCCGUCACUCAUAUUGGCUAAAUAAAGCUUGAACUACCACCUUCAAGCGGUUGCACCCGAAGUCUACAAUAUUCUACGCUUUUCACACGCUGCAAUAAAGCACAUAUGAUAACCAAAAGAAAUUAGAAGAUAUAAAUUUUGAGGGCGUAUUUUUCUUCAAAAUAUGGCCAAAGUGGCAUUAGUCAACACGCCACGUGGGUAGGUCAUACCUGGGUUGCACUGAUGCAUUUCCAUACUUACAGAACCAAGAUGACACACCUAGAAUAUCUUUGGGGCUUCCAAUGCAUUUUACUUUCUAGGAAACAAUUACACUAGUUGAGUCCACCCGGCAAGGCGACUAGGGAAAGCCUUCCUCCCUUGAUCUCCACCGGCGAGCUUGUGGAUUCGCCUCCCCUCUGCUUGCCACUACGGCUGCCGGUGGCGGGGAUGAGAUUUCUGUUGCCUCGGAUCCGGCUAGUAGAUUGGUAGGGUUUUAGCCCUCGCAAGGGCGGCGUUUGGGUGGAUGGCGGCGCUUCUUCGAGUCAGUCUUCUGGGCUUUGAUUCUCCUCAAGUUCGUUUGUUGGAACGGAUUAGACGGAGCUCCGACGUAGAUUCCUGCCGGCUCCAUGGGGCGGCAAGGUUAGGUUUUCUCGUCGUGCAUACGAAACGACGAUAUUUAGUGUCAGGUUCUUCAGAUCGAUUCAAGGACUCAACGGUGACGACUGUGGUUCCGGGGCGCUGGUCCUCAGGGGCACGUGAACUUCCCGGCUACCGUCAACAAGUUUAGUCCGGCUCUGGUAUGAGAGCGGCGGCAGCGGCGCGGCAGCGGCUCGUUCUGGCAGCGGCAAUGGUCGUUCGGUGGUCCAUGGACCAAAAUAUAAUUUUUAUUUAUAAUAGAUAUGACCCUUUUCGCAAAAAAAAUUGAGUCCACCCCAUCCAUUUUGGACAUGUGAGAGCUCACGAAAUAGCCUUUCCUCUUGCUUUAUAGAUAAACUCAAUUGACAGAAUGAUACAAGAUGUUGUGGUAACCCUCUUACAAAGCCGGUCAAAGAAAACUAGGCUAAAACAAGAUGAUUGCGCUAACACUACACAAGGGAUGCUCUACUGGAUGUUGGCGGCUUGCCGCCGAGCAGAAGCACGAGAGUAGCAGGACAACGAGAAGCGCCUAUAAGCCUACAAAAAGCAAACCCAUGUCUCUUGGAUAAAAUCACCGAACUUUAUCACAAAACAUCCACCAAAAAUGCCGCUAGAGAGGGCCCUCUACCGAGUGCUAACCCUGUAGGCGUGCAGUUUGGAUCAAGGUAGCUGAAGACAUAGUCCCGUGUAGGAGAGGACACAAACGAGACCGCCAAACGAUAGAGCCGAAGAUGCAUCAUCUCAAUAUCAAGCCUAUGAUGACGCCCCAAAAUGGUGAAGACGCAACGCGCCAUCAUCAAGUCUAGCAAUGGACAUGGUUUUCCCCCGAGCAUGGACAAGGGGUCGAGGUAAAACCACGACAUCACCACUAGGAGGGACGCAACACCCGCAGGCGACGGCGGUGGCAUCGCCGAGAGGCAUUGGGCUUUCGCUCGGUACCUCCCUCACUCCUUGCAUAUGAACCCUGGCACAUGGCCCUUAUGCCCGGAUGGCAUCAGUAGAAAAUGGAUGGCCUAAAUGCAAGGGUUUUACGCUCAUAGCAUCAACUUACAGUGGGAGGACACUGAGUGAACCUAGUUUUUGGGAUAAUCAAACAACUUGACUAGGAUCGGCGGAACACGGAGGAGAAUAGACAUGAUUAUAUGUCAGCGUACAAGUGUGGUGUACAUGAAGUAUAGCUCCCCAUUGCCAUCUCAUGUAUACGGACUAUGGGAGUUCCCCUUAUACAAUGGUCCAAAUCUUUGUCCAUUGACAAUAUGUGCGACUAAACUACCACGUGUUGUUCCAGUCAUUGACUUAUCUCCAUUACAAGCUAUCCUCGCUAUCUCUAACCUUUUGGCAUACAACUAUGUCAACUCAACAUGCCACUAUGCAUGAGAAAAGACCAACCUUUCACCAUUCAUGCUACUUAUAUUUAAAUAUACUACAACUAUACAAUAAUCGGGUACAAUAAAUUUAUACGCACUUUAGUUUCAAUUAUUAUAUUAUUAAUUCAAAUACUAAUGUUUCAUACAACCCGAUAUCAUUGAAAUAAUUGGAACCAAUCCCUGCAGUGACGCACCACGCACGCUGGGUAUCAUUUCUAUUUCCUGAAAUUUUGAUGGACCAAGGCCCACUAUAAUUCUCACACAUACAUAUGUGGGUAGGGAUUGCUCAAAAAAAACUGCAGGUAGGGUGAUCAUCCUAGGAAGAAUCCGAAUGGUUUUGAUGCUUUGUUGUUUCUUUAUUGUCUGUCAUCGUCAUGCAUCUUUGAACUCGGUUUUAUAUUUGCUUUUGUUGGACCAUUUUAAUAUAAGUACUUCCGGAGCUGCUAAUACUUGCACGGCCGGCUGUUCGUUCUCUCAUUGUUUUGUGUUCACCUGCUCACCUAGAACGAACUAGAUCCCUAGCUGCAACAUACUUCUUUUUUAACAAGAGUUGAACGCACUUCCGCUCGAAUUUUUACUGAACACAACCAUUGACUCCACGGACCAGAGUUGGAUUAAGCUAACAUACUAUAUACAACCACAAGGUUAUUUAUUCUAUCUGGUAAUUAACUUCACGGUCACGCUGUUGUCCAUCGAUAUUCACACAUCAUCCUAGAGUAAAACGUGCGUUCUACGUCCAUGUGCAAGACUACAGCUAUAUAAGCACAUCCCUUCCACCCAUAGUUGACAGACCAAAGCACCACCAAGCUAAUUGUAGUAUCAGCAAGCACUAGUCGAGCAGAUCAUGGCCAUCCCAAAGGCACUGCUUCUUGCCAUCAUAGGCAGCAUCUGCUUAUGCAGUAGCACCGUUCUAUCAGCUCGGGAACUUGGUGACGCGGCCAUGGUGGAGAAGCAUGAGCAGUGGAUGGCGAAGUUUAACCGUGUUUACAAGGACAGCACCGAGAAGGCGCAGCGGUUCAAGGCGUUCAAGGCCAAUGUUGCCUUCAUCGAGUCGUUCAACACCGGAAAUCACAAGUUCUGGCUCGGUGUCAACCAAUUCACCGAUCUCACCAACGAUGAGUUCAGAGCAACCAAGACCAACAAGGGCCUCAAAAGAAAUGGUGCUAGGGCUCCAACUAGGUUCAAGUACAACAAUGUCAGCACUGAUGCACUUCCAGCGGCAGUUGAUUGGAGGACCAAGGGCGUCGUCACUCCUAUCAAAGACCAAGGGCAAUGUGGUAAGUAAAUUUAGGUAGUAUGUAUAUAUCAUAUUCUCAUGAUAACUGAAAUUAUACUAAGUACGCCAAUAUUUUUGUAGGCUGUUGUUGGGCUUUUUCGGCCGUGGCUGCAACCGAGGGCAUUGUGAAAUUAAGCACAGGGAAGCUCGUCUCCUUGUCUGAGCAAGAGCUAGUUGACUGUGAUGUCCAUGGUGUGGAUCAGGGGUGUGAGGGUGGCGAGAUGGACGACGCCUUCAAGUUCAUCAUCAAGAACGGCGGCCUCACCACUGAGGCCAACUACCCAUACACCGCACAAGACGGACAGUGCAAAACUAGCACUACAAGCAACAGUGUUGCAACCAUCAAGGGCUACGAGGAUGUGCCCGCCAACGAUGAAUCUUCUCUUAUGAAAGCCGUGGCUAACCAGCCUGUAUCAGUAGCUGUGGACGGAGGGGAUGUCAUAUUUCAACACUACUCCGGCGGGGUUAUGACCGGCUCCUGCGGAACUGAUUUGGACCAUGGGAUAGUAGCGAUUGGAUAUGGCAUGACGAGUGAUGGAACUAAAUUUUGGCUGCUGAAGAACUCAUGGGGCACGACAUGGGGCGAGAGCGGGUACCUCAGAAUGGAGAAGGAUAUUUCCGACAAGAGUGGUAUGUGUGGCUUGGCCAUGCAACCUUCCUACCCCACCGAGUAGGGAAAUACAUUGCCACGUAUAUCUACAAAUAUUACAUAAAUACACCGUUUUUUUCUAUAUGUAUGUAACUUCCAUUGCACUACAUUAUUUCUCAUUUGUAAAGUCGUAAAUGUUUGGUAAAUAUAUAUUGAAAAAAUAUAUAUGACUUUGAGCUUAAAUUCUCUAUGGUGUUGUUUACACGGAAAUCCCUCUUGUUAGAAUCCACUGAUCACUGAUUGGACCCAGAUUUGUUAUUUCAAAAAUGAGAGAGCAUCCCUGAUCUUUGCAUCUAUCAAUGCACACAUCCCGCAUAUUAAAGAUAUUCAUUAUAUUGUAUUCCCCUAAACAUAAAAAGGCACAAUAAUAGGCAACAAUUCCUACAACUUAUGGGCGAAGUGGUAUGAGUCAACGCGACAUGUGGGUAGGUCAAACCUAGUUUGGACCUGAGCAUUUUGAUACUUACAGGACCAAGCUGACACACCUAGAAUACUUUUGUGACUUCCGAUGCACUUAAUCUCUAGGAAAACAUUACACUAAUUGAGUACAUGUCCAUCCAUUUGGACAUGUGAGAGUUCACGAAAUAAUAUUUCAUCCCACUUUAUAGAUAAACCCUUACAAAGCAGAUCAAAAAAAUCUAGACUAAAACAAGACGGGCAGCGCUAACACUGCAUAAGGAAUGCACUACAGGACGUCGUCGGCUUGCCGUUGAGCAGAAGUGCAAGAGUAACAUGACCACAACUAGAGGCUCUAGAAAGUCUACAAGCAAACCCCAGUCUCUAGGAUGAAAUCACCGGACUUUGUCGCAAUGCCUCCACAAAAAUUGUCACUGGAGAGGGCCCUCUUCCGAGCGCCAACCCUGCAGGCGAGCCAUUUGGACCAAGGUGGCUGAUGACAUAGUGUAUGAGAGGAGACAAACGAGACGGCCAAACGCUAGAGUCGAGGAUGCUUUAUCUCGGUCUCAGGAUCCAAUCCUGCCCAAGCACGUCUCCAUGUUGUGAGACCUAAGCUCUUUGUUGACGCCCCAAUAGGGUAACGACGCAACAAGUUGUCACCGAGUCUAGCAAUGGACACGGUUUUCCCCGAGCACGGACAAGGGGAUGGAGGUACAACCAUGCUGGCACCCGUCGAACUAACGUGAAUCCCGCAGGCAUCGUCGGUAGUGCCACCGAGAAGCGCCUGGCUUUCACUCAGUACCUCUCUUACUUCUUGACUGGGAACCCUAGCUCUGACCCUUAUGCCUGGACAGUAAGAAAUGGAUGGCCUAAAUGCAAGUUGUUGGCGCCCAGAGCAUCAACUUAUGGGGAAAAUAUACGGAGCUCUCAUGUGUAAAAAGUUAAUUUUAAAUGUUUCAAAAGAUUUGAAUUUUUCUGUGAAUGUUCACAAGACAUGUGGCUACGGCCUCGAAAAAAAAAGAUCCAAACUCGAAAUACACACUGAGAAACAAAAAAGGGAAAAUUGAUGUAAAUAUUGUCAUUUUUGCAAUUGUCUUUUUGUGACACUACUCAUGCUGAAUUUGUCUUUUUUGUUCUCAGUGUGCAUUUCGAGUUUGAAUAUGAACUUUUCAGAGUUCAUGGACUCGUGUCUUGGGAACAUUAAAAAAUCGGAAAUUUUCAAACAUUUGAAUUGACUUUUAGACAUGGGAGCACCUUAAUGUUGGGAGCACUGGAUAUCCUCCUCAAUUUAUGGUGGGAGCACACCGAGUGAACCUAGUUUUUCGGGAUAACCAAACAGAAGGAAGAGGAUCGGCGGAGCACGGAGGAGAAUAAGCACGAUCAGAUGUGCACGUAAGAAUGUGUUGCACAUGCAGUAUAGCUCCCCAUUGCCAUCUCAUGUAAAUGCACGUCUCCUUAUAUAUUUGUCCAAAUCUUUGCCCAUUGACAACAUGUGACUAAACUACCACAUGUUAUUCCAGUAUUGACUUCUCUCCAUAUCAUAUAUAGCUAAAUAGUUGACCAUCACUGUCUCUAAAUCUCUUAGCAUUCAACUAUGCCAACUCAACAAGCCACUCUACACGAGAAAAGACCACGAUAACAUGCAUAGUUGCUUCUACUUAUAUUCGACAAAUAUCCUAAAACUACACAACAAUCAAAUACAGUAAGUUUAUGUACAAUUUAGUUUUACUUCUUAUAUUAUUAAUCCAAAUACUAAUGUUUCAUACAACAAAACAUCCUUGAGAUAAUUGAACCAAUCCCCUCGACAACGCACAGGGUAUGAUUUCCAUUUCCUGAAAUUUGAUGGACCAUGAGCCGCUGAUAUUCUUACACAUCAAUCGGUGGGUAAGGUGACCACCCUAAGGAAAGGCUGAAUGGUUUUGUUUCUUUAUUAUUACCGUUAUCGUCGUGCAUCUUUGAACUCUUUUUUGUUAUCUUUGCUCUUGUUGGACUGUUCUAAUAUAUGUACUUUCGUAGCUGCAAUACUUGCCCGCCAGGCAGUUCCUCUUUCUCAUUGUUUUGUGUUCACCCGGCACGAACUAGGGGUCAGUUCUUAUUUCUCACUAUUUUAAAAUAUACCCCCUUCGUACUAAAUAUAAGACGUUUCCAGGACCAGAGUUGGACUAAGCUAACGUACUAUCUACAACCACAAGAUUAUUUAUUCCAACUGGUAAUUAACUUCACCGCCACGCUGUUGUCCGUCGCUCUCCACACCAUAUCUGCUACGUACAUGUGUAUGGCUACAGCUAUAUAAACACAUCCCUUACACCCAUUUUGACAGACCAAAGCACCACCAAAGCUACUUACAGUACUAGCACUAGUAAUUAAGCACUGAUCUAGCAGAUCAUGGCCAUCCCCAAGGCUUUGCUUCUUGCCAUCCUAGGUUGCAUCUGCUUAUGCAGCAGCACUGUUCUGUCAGCUCGCGAGCUCGGCGACGUGUCCACGGUGGAGAGGCACGAGCAGUGGAUGGUGAAGUACAAUCGUGUUUACAAGGACGACGCCGAGAAGGCGCAGCGGUUCGAGGUGUUCAAGGCCAACGUUGCCUUCAUUGGGUCGUUCAACGCUGGAAACCACAAGUUCUGGCUCGGUGUCAACCUGUUUACCGAUCUCACCAACGAUGAGUUCAGGGCAACCAAGACCAACAAGGGCUUGAAAAGGAGUGGCGGUAGGGCUCCAACUGGGUUCAAGUACAGUAAUGUCAUCACCGAUGCACUUCCAACAGUUGUUGAUUGGAGGACCAAGGGCGUUGUCACUCCUAUCAAAGACCAAGGCCAAUGUGGUAAGUGGGUUUCGGUAGCAUAUAUCAUGUUUCCGUAAAUCUCAUCACCCCUCUUGACAUGCGUGAUGUAGUUCUUGGUGCGGGAGGAAGUUUACACCAAAAGGAGGAAGUUUUCACCAGCGAACAGAAUGGGAAAGUACCAGGUCCGGGAGUUUACCCUUGACCUUGAUUAUCUCGAGAUGAAAUCGGUGGAUCUUCAUGAUCUGUAUGAUAUAUUUACGAAGGAAGAGAUUUGAAAUGUCAUUAAAGACAUGCCGGCCGAUCGCGCUCCGGCCCCAAUGGCUUUAUAGGCAUUUUCUAUCAGAAGGCCUUGUUAGAAUAAAUCCGAGGCGCUCCGUCGAUCUAUCGAGGACCAAGCAAUCACACAAGCACGACACCGAGAUUUGUUAACGAGGUUCACCGAUAUGGCUACAUCUCCGGGGCCUGACUACGGGUGCUCCUCCCAGUGACACCGUCACAAUACCGCACUCCGGCCGCCCGGGCGCCGGCACACGCCGCCGGCUCCCCCGCGUGCCUAUGCUAUUAUGUUGGCAUACACCAUGUGUCUACCCCCGCUAUAUAUGAGAGGCCUAGGAUACAAGUGUCCUACUUGGACACGACUCCAUAUCCUGUCUACACACCAUACGACUCCAAGUCCAACUGUAACCUAACUUGUACAAUAAUAUUCGACACAACUCUAACAGGCCUGGCCUAUAAUCAAGCACGAUAUUAUGGCAGCUAUUCUGAAGUUAUACGUGGGAGAUAGCCGCGGGUUUGGCAAGCUAAAUAAGGCACUGAUCACCCUGAUUCCUAAACGGGCGAAUGCUGAUUCGGUAGGGGAUUUUCGCCCGAUUAGCCUGACCCACAGCUUCGCAAAGCUGUUCGCUAAGGCGCUGGCCAUGAGGGCAAGGAGACGCAUGAAGGAGAUUGUUCAGGCAAACCAGUCGGCCUUCAUUGCGGGAAGAUGCUUGCACGAUAAUUUUCUCCUUGUAAGACAGAUCGCUAGGAAAUUACACGCGAGGAAGAUGCCAGGAGUGUUCCUGAAACUUGACAUCACGAGGGUGUUUGAUUCUCUGUCAUGGCCGUUCCUAUUCCAAGUUAUGAGAAAAAAAGGCUUUGGGGACGCCUGGAUCAGGUGGGUGGCCAUCUUGCUUCAGACUGCUAGUACUAAGGUGGUAGUGAACGGAUGUCUGGGACAGAGCUUUGUUCACGCUUGCGGUCUUCGCCAAGGGGACCUAGUCUCUCCACUCCUAUUCGUCAUUGCCAUGGAACCCCUAACAGCGUUGUUCAGGAAAGGAGCUGAGGAAGGAGUCGUUAGCAAACUAAAUGGGAUCUCUCCAACACAAAGGCUAUCCAUUUACGCGGAUGAUGUUGCGUUGUUCAUCAAGCCGACGGAGAUGGACUUGAUCUUUGUCAAGCAGGCGCUGGCAAGCUUUGGUGAGGCCUCUGGAUUGGAAGUCAACUACAAUAAAUCCAAGGUUGAUUCGAGGCUCGGUGGAGGACCAGCAGAGAGUUGCCGCACACUUGCAGUGUGACAUUGGGCAGUUUCCAUGCAAGUAUCUGGGCAUUCCCUUGGCGAUACAUCAACUAACUCGAGCAGAUUGGUUGCCACUUGUGGAUCAAGUUAGGAAAUUUAUCCCGGCAUGGCAGUGCGGCCUCAUUCAAAGGCCAGGACGUCUUGUUCUCAUCAAAUCAGUGGUGGCGGCGAGACCUAUCCAUCAGCUCAUGGUGCUUAAUGCCCCUGACUGGGUGUUCGAUGAAAUUAACGCAUGGAUGAGGUCAUUCUUUUGGGCCGGGAAAGACAAGGUUAACGGAGGGCAAUUCCUUGUGGCAUGGAACACUAUCUGCCGUCCCACAAGGUUUGGAGGCCUCGGAGUCAAGAACUUGAAGGUGCAAGCCCUCGCCCUUAGGGUGAGGUGGGAGUGGUUGAGGAGGACGGACCUUGACAGACCCUGGCAAGGUAUCCCGUUCCUGGUUGACGAAGAAGCGAGGCAUGUGUUCAAUCAACUGGUGCAAAUCACAGUAGGAGCCGGCGAUAGAGUGCUCUUUUGGAAGGAUCGCUGGAUGAAUGGCCUGGCGGUGGAAGACAUUGCACCUGCCAUCUUACCCUUGGUGCCCACGAGAGUGCAGAACAAUCGGACGGUCGGUCAAGCUAUGGUUGAUAGCAGGUGGGAGCUGGACAUCAAUGAAGAGCCACCGUUCAUGGCCCUCUUGCAGCUCAUGCAUCUCCGAGUGGCUACUAUGGAUGCUUAUCGAGACUCUCAGGGGCCGGACACGUUUGCAUGGACGUGGGACACAUCGGGGCAGUACACACAUCGGGGCAGUACACUGCGCGGUCAGUGUAUCAGGCGCUGCACCUUGGGCUUGCGACUUCCCCUAGAUACGAGUGCAUUUGGAGGAGUGGGGCGAUCCUAAAAUGCAAAAUCUUUGCAUGGCUAGCGGUGCAAUAUAGGCUAUGGACUUCGGAUCGGCGCGCUAGACAUGGCCUGCAGGACACUACGGCGGCAUGCUACACGUGCCUACAAGAGGAAGAUAUGGUUGACCAUAUCUUACUUCUUUGCCCUUAUGCCAAGGAGGUUUGGCAUCUUUGCUUCACGGAAAUUAGGGUCACCGUCCGGCAGCCGCAAUCAGGUGACUCGCUGGAACCGUGGUGGCUUCAGGCGCGGAAUGCAAUCUCGAAGACGGACAGAAGAGGUUUUGACACCAUCGUCAUCUUCGUAGCUUGGUCUUUAUGGAAGCAAAGGAAUGCUAGAGUAUUUGGGCGGGUGGCGCAACAAAGGAGCCCGCGGCAGUUGGUACACCAAAUCUUCGAUGAGCUUAAAGAGGGGGAUGAAGCCGAUGUUGGGGGAAUACAUCGAUUUAUGAGUAGUUAGGCUAAGUAUUGUUUAGGUGUUGAGUGGAUCUUGCUAGCUUGAUGUUCGCAUCUAUGCCUAGCUUCUUGUAAUUAUGUUUGCUGCCUUCUAUAAAAAUAUGGUACGCCGUUGGCGUACUCUCGAAAAAUCAUGUUUCCGUAAUAAUUAAAAUUACACUAAGCACAUCACAAUUUCAAGCUGUUGCUGGGCCUUUUCGGUUGUGGCGGCAACCGAAGGCAUUGUGAAGUUGAGCACCGGGAAGCUCAUCUCGUUGUCGGAGCAAGAGCUGGUUGACUGCGAUGUCCAUGGUGUGGAUCAGGGUUGUGAGGGUGGCGAGAUGGACGACGCCUUCAAAUUCAUCAUUAAGAACGGCGGCCUCACCACCGAGUCCAACUACCCAUACACGGCACGGGAUGGGCAGUGCAAGACCAGCAUUGCAAGCAACAGUGUGGCAACCAUCAAGGGCUACGAAGAUGUCCCCGCCAACGAUGAAUCUUCUCUUAUGAAAGCAAUCGCUAACCAACCUGUAUCAGUAGCUGUGGACGGAGGGGAUGUCAUAUUUCAACAUUACUCUGGCGGGGUGAUGACCGGCUCCUGCGGAACUGAUUUGGACCAUGGGAUAGCGGCGAUUGGGUAUGGCAUGACGAGUGAUGGAACUAAGUAUUGGCAACUGAAGAACUCAUGGGGCACCACAUGGGGUGAGAAUGGUUACCUCAGAAUGGAGAAGGAUAUUUCAAACAAGAGUGGUAUGUGUGGCUUGGCCAUGCAACCUUCCUACCCCACCGAGUAGGAGAUAUACAUUGCCACAUAUUUAUCUACAAAUAUUGCAUAAAUAUGUGUAUUUUAUUUUCAUGUAUGUAUCUUCCAUUACACUACCUUGUUUCUUGUUUGUAAAGUCAUGAAUGCUCCGUGAAUAUACAUAACAGAAGAUAGAUAGAUGACUUUGAGCUUAGUAUUAUAUGGUGAUGUCUACACCAAAAUCGAUCUUGUUUUAAUCCACUUCUUCAAUGGAACACAUUUCUCCCCGAAAAUGAGGGAGUCCCUCUAGCCUUUACAUCUAUCAAUGCACACAACGUUCUUAAUUAAAGUAAUUUAUUACAUAAUAUCAGAAAAGAAACAAUGAUUGUUACAACUCAGGCAUCACAGAUCCUAUUACUAGUCCGUCACCCAUAUGGGCUGAACAAAGCUUGAGCUGCCAACAUCAAUCGACUGCACCAAGAGUCCAGAGUACGUUCGUUUGCAUGUGCUGCAGUAAGCACCAAGUAUGUAUCGGGUAAAACGAUUGGAAACUCAUUGUUAAAGACAAUAUCCAUAUAACCCAACAUAAAGCACAAAUUGGCGUAAGUUGUCUAUAGCCCCGAAAGCUAUUUCCCAAACAUAUCAGAAAUACUAUGGGGUGGUGCAAGAUCGAAAUACACAUGAACAACUCACCACACAGGGGGCAAAAGGGCAUGAAAGAAAACAAGAUCUUUAUUCUUUCUUCUUCGUUGUAAUGGCAACACUUUUAGCUGAUUUUCCAGUUCCUCUUUGCAAGGUUUUCUUUUGUAAGGAUUAUCCCCAUCGUAGGUACCAUAUGAAGAUCUUAAUCUUAAAUGUCACCUUUGAGUUUCUAGAUAUGUUUCACACCAAUUGACUGUUUGUAUUUAUUAUAUCGGCAUACAUGAAUUGACCGAGGAAGACCCAAACGAGUGGAGGCUCCACCUAAAUACAUCUCGUUCUUGGUCUAGAUGUAUAUAUAGGCGAACAUUCCACUAAUUCAGUCCACCAUAUCUACUUUGGACCUAUGAGAGCUCACCUAAAUCUAACACUUAGCGGUGCAAUGAUCACGACCAUCUGCCACUGUUGCGUGUUGUGGUUGGCCAAUUUGAUGAAGAAAAUGAUAAUUCCUCUAUAAACAAAUAUAAGACAUUUUAGAUACUAACGUCUUAAAUUUGUUUACAACGUGGGUAUUAUUCACUGAGAGGCGAGUUCUCCAAUUACACGCCCUUCUAAAACCUUGUUUGGGCGCCGUUAUUAACAGAAACAAAGCAUGGCAUGGAAACCUAAGAGGGGCGAUAGCAUUAACAGAAAUUCUCAAUAUCAUCCCAAAUUCAAAAGGUGAAAAGUUUCCAAAUUGCUCACUCGGUAUUUGUUAAUGUGUUCAUGUGUUUGUAUUCAAUUAGUUCACUCUGAAUGUCAACACUCAGUCAAAACCGACACUAAGUUUAUUCUUUGAGGUCAUCUACCUCCCUUCUUUCUAUGCUCUCAAGUUUCCCUUUACCAUUCUUGUGCCCUCACUUGGUCACAAACUCACGCCAGUGGAAAGUGCAAGGAUCAUGCCUUCUCAUGGAUGCCAUCGAAGAGAUCAGCGAGCGGUCAUUGCCACUCAUUAGAAUUUUCGAAUGAAUUAGCAAGGAGAAUUUAGAUCUAGAAGGAAUAGAACCAUUGGCACAAUAAAAGUGGUUUACCAAGCAUACAACUUGAAUGUACAGCGAUCAACGUCAUCAACAGUAGCUCAACCCCUGUACGCCGAUGGCGCAGGUGAAGAACAGGUUGAUCGCAUGAUGAUUGUUUUCGCGGGUUGACACUUGAUCUUAAAAGAGCUGACGCGGAGUACGUGCAAAUGACAAUAACAAUAGUGAAAAGUAUGUAUAUGGCCUCAACAGCAAACACAGCUCACAGCAUUCCCAAAGACAAAAACCCAACAACAAUACAGUCACAGCAGAAGAGGGCAACUACAACGAUAUAGAAGAAUCGUAAUGCCGAAGUGCCUACCUCGCAAAUAACCUUGCCUAUUGUGCCUCCUGCGGUACAGGAGCAACAUCAGUAGCCUCUUCAGAUGGCUUGGUCGGGUCCUCAUUGAUCGCCUCAUUAACGCCGAGCACUUCAUCCAUCAGGUCGUCUUCCGCGGCCAUGUCGUCCACAUCCACAUCAUCAUCCUCGUCAUUGCCACCGUCGGGUAUCCUCCGAGCCUUUGGGCCAUGCUCCGCCCUGUGCGUGUCCAACUCCUUGUCCAUU